GUGAGGGUGCGUGCGCCGCUCCUGCCGAGUGUCGGCUCGGUUUUUUCCCUUUUAUCCUGCAGGCGCCAAAUUCUGCGGGGCACCAGAAGGCUAAAAGGGAAAAGACCAAGCUGGUGCUUGGCAGAAGCGGCGCAUGCGCCCUCGC